rnacentral:rRNA from 1 species
AGAUUGAACGCUGGCGGCAGGCCUAACACAUGCAAGUCGAGCGGUAGAGAGGUGCUUGCAUCUCUUGAGAGCGGCGGACGGGUGAGUAAUGCCUAGGAAUCUGCCUAGUGGUGGGGGAUAACGUUCGGAAACGGACGCUAAUACCGCAUACGUCCUACGGGAGAAAGCGGGGGACCUUCGGGCCUCGCGCCAUUAGAUGAGCCUAGGUCGGAUUAGCUAGUCGGUGAGGUAAUGGCUCACCAAGGCGACGAUCCGUAACUGGUCUGAGAGGAUGAUCAGUCACACUGGAACUGAGACACGGUCCAGACUCCUACGGGAGGCAGCAGUGGGAAUAUUGGACAAUGGGCGAAAGCCUGAUCCAGCCAUGCCGCGUGUGUGAAGAAGGUCUUCGGAUUGUAAAGCACGUUUAAGUUGGAAGUAAGGUUGUAGCUUUAAUACGUUUGCUAACUUUGACGUUACCGACUAGAAUUAAGCACGGCUAACUUCGUGCAG